rnacentral:lncRNA from 1 species
AACACAUGCCUCACUCCAGCUCCAAGUCAGGUCACACCUCGGAGCCCUGCGUCCUGUAUCCCCGAUAGGCUCCUGAAGGCUGGGCCUUUCCAGGAUAGCCUUCUGGCCUGUCUCUGCCCCAACCCUGACCCUCCCUACCUCCAUAGAGGUGAGCAGGAAGACUGGCACUUACAUGACACCGGGCUUGGAGCACUGGCUGCUCGUCUCAAAGUAGUCAGCUAUGAAAUUCUGUGGAAUCUGCCGGGAGGUGUAGCUGAAGCAGCAGGCGGUCGGCGUGUCAGCAGCAACUGUGGAGAAAGGAAGAGAAUGAGCCCGAGUCACAGCUCAGAAGAAAAGGCCAGGCAGCUUCUGAUCCCCGAGCAGUUGAGGAAGGCAGGCUUGCUCAGACCAAGUGACUGGAAGGCAUUUGGGCAUUUUUGCUGAGAAAUGUCUCUUUGUUUCUGUCUGUAUCCUUCUUUCUCCUUGACUCUUCAUAGUGGGUUCUCUGUUUCUCUGUGUGAUCCAGAUACCUGAACGGACUGUUCUCUUAUCUCAGUUCUCUUCAGGGAAUUUUGUCUGGUUCAAGAAGUCAUACCCCAACCCAAGAGAAGCCUUGGACAUCUCUCAUAAGACAUCCAAGGGACAGAGCUCCUGGGAGACCUAGAGUGAGCUGGAGAGUGAACAACAUACCCCACUGGGAAGCCACAAGAAAAGAUUGAUGUGGUCUAACCAUGGCCAGAGAGUGGUGAUACCCACAACGAAACUCAGACUCACGUGAUGCAGAGAACUGGUUGCAGAGAGCCAUGGUGCAGAGGAGGACAGCAAGGGCAGCAGUGGAGACCUGCAUGAUUCUGAGCAGGUGACGGAAUGUGGGCUCGAGUGUCAGCAGAGCCAAGAAAGGACUGACCACUGUCUGCUGCCCGUGUCCUUCUGAAGUCUGAAACCAGCUCUCCUCUUUAUAGGCAGCCCUGGCGGAUGGGGAAAUGGAAUCUGGGGGUGAGGAGGGAAAUUUUUAAGCGUAGUGAUGCUGUCAUGCUAAGUUGCACAACUCAGGGUCCCUGGUGACCACAGGGGCUCAGGAUAUC